UACAGAGGGUGCGAGCGUUGUUCGGAAUUAUUGGGCGUAAAGGGCGCGUAGGCGGUGCGGUAAGUCACCUGUGAAAUCUCCUGGCUCAACUCGGAGCUUGCAGGCGAAACUGCCGUGCUGGAGUGUGGGAGAGGUGCGUGGAAUUCCUGGUGUAGCGGUGAAAUGCGCAGAUAUCAGGAAGAACACCCGUGGCUAAGGCGGCUCUCUAGUACGGUACUGACGCUGAGACGCGAAAGCGUGGGGAGCGAACAGG
rnacentral:rRNA from 1 species